rnacentral:rRNA from 1 species
GAUGAACGCUAGCGGCAGGCUUAAUACAUGCAAGUCGAGGGGCAGCAUGAUUGUAGCAAUACAAUUGAUGGCGACCGGCAAACGGGUGCGGAACACGUACACAACCUCCCAAUAAGUGGGGAAUAGCCCAGAGAAAUUUGGAUUAAUACCCCGUAACAUAACGAUGUGGCAUCACAUUGUUAUUAUAGAUUUUUCGCUUAUUGAUGGGUGUGCGGCUGAUUAGAUAGUUGGCGGGGUAACGGCCCACCAAGUCUACGAUCAGUAGCUGAUGUGAGAGCAUGAUCAGCCACACGGGCACUGAGAAACGGGCCCGACUCCUACGGGAGGCAGCAGUAAGGAAUAUUGGACAAUGGACGCAAGUCUGAUCCAGCCAUGCCGCGUGAAGGAUUAAGGUCCUCUGGAUUGUAAACUUCUUUUAUAAGGGACGAAAAAAGGCUUUUCUAAGUCGUCUGACGGUACCUUAUGAAUAAGCACCGGCUAACUCCGUGCCAGCCGCCGCAGUAAGAC